GGAUGCUUCCCUGAUCCACUGAUCGUCACAUACAGUUCAAAGCAAAUACAAUUUAUUAAACAGCAACCAAUUUAAAAAAAUAAGGAAAACAUAGGAAAGGUUAAAGGAAAACCCGUCACCCAGCUCUGUGGCACGGGGACACAAAGGAGCAUAAACACUGCCAAAUUAAAUGUAAAAAUGUAAUAA